rnacentral:rRNA from 1 species
GUGUCAGCAGCCGCGGUAAUACGAAGGGACCUAGCGUAGUUCGGAAUUACUGGGCUUAAAGAGCACGUAGGUGGUUAAGAAAGUUGGUGGUGAAAUCCCAAGGCUUAACCUUGGAACUGCCACCAAAACUUUUUAACUAGAGUAUGAUUGAGGUAAGCGGAAUUUCUAGUGUAGAGGUGAAAUUCGUAGAUAUUAGAAAGAACACCAAUUGCGAAGGCAGCUUUCUGGAUCAUUACUGACACUGAGGUGCGAAAGCAUGGGUAGCGAAGAGGAUUAGAUACCCUCGUAGUCCAUGCCGUAAACGAUGUGUGCUAGACGUUGGGAAUUUAUUUUUCAGUGUCGCAGCAAAAGCGUUAAGCACACCGCCUGGGGAGUACGACCGCAAGGUUAAAACUCAAAUGAAUUAACGGGGACCCGCACAAGUAGUGGAGCAUGUGGUUUAAUUCGAAGAUACGCGCAGAACCUUACCAACACUUGACAUKUUCGUCGCGACUCUAAGAGAUUAGAGUUUUCGGUUCGGCCGGACGAAACACAGGUGCUGCAUGGCUGUCGUCAGCUCGUGUCGUGAGAUGUUGGGUUAAGUCCCGCAACGAGCGCAACCCUUACUUUUAGUUGCUACCAUUCAGUUGGGCACUCUAAAAGAACUGCCAGUGAUAAGCUGGAGGAAGGUGGGGAUGACGUCAAGUCCUCAUGGCCCUUAUGUGUUGGGCUACACACGUGNUACAAUGGUAUUUACAGUGGGAUGCAAAGAGGCAACUCCUAGCCAACCCUUAAAAAAUACUCUCAGUUCGGAUUGUACUCUGCAACUCGAGUACAUGAAGC